rnacentral:rRNA from 1 species
GCUGGCGGCGUGCUUACACAUGCAAGUCGCGCGCUGCAGUUUCUUCGGCAAUGGAUUAGCGGCUCACGGGUGUCGGAAACACGUGAAAUCAUCUGCCCUCCACUUUGGGCUUAACACAGGGAAACCUGUGCUAAUACCGAAUAUUGAAACAUAAGUGGCAUCACUGAGUUUUGAAAGAAAUUUCGGUGGAGGAUGACUUCGCGGCCUAUCAGCUAGUUGGUGAGGUAAUGGCUCACCAAGGCAACGACGGGUAGCCGGCCUGAGAGGGCGACCGGCCACACUGGGACUGAGACACGGCCCAGACUCCUACGGGAGGCAGCAGUGGGGAAUAUUGGGCAAUGGAGGAAACUCUGACCCAGCGACGCCGCGUGCGGGAUGAAGGCCUUCGGGUUGUAAACCGCUUUCAGUAGGGAAGAAGCGAAAGUGACGGUACCUACAAAAGAAGCACCGGCUAACUAUGUGCCAGCAGCCGCGGUAAUACAUAGGGUGCAAGCGUUGUCCGGAAUCAUUGGGCGUAAAGAGCUCGUAGGUGGUUCGUCACGUCGGAUGUGAAACUCUGGGGCUUAACCCCAGACCUGCAUUCGAUACGGGCGAGCUUGAGUAUGGUAGGGGAGUCUGGAAUUCCUGGUGUAGCGGUGGAAUGCGCAGAUAUCAGGAGGAACACCAAUGGCGAAGGCAGGACUCUGGGCCAUUACUGACACUGAGGAGCGAAAGCGUGGGGAGCGAACAGGAUUAGAUACCCUGGUAGUCCACGCCGUAAACGGUGGGCACUAGUUGUGGGGACCUUCCACGGUCUCUGCGACGCAGCUAACGCAUUAAGUGCCCCGCCUGGGGAGUACGAUCGCAAGAUUAAAACUUAAAUGAAUUGACGG